rnacentral:rRNA from 1 species
UAAGGAAUAUUGGUCAAUGGACGCAAGUCUGAACCAGCCAUGCCGCGUGAAGGAUGAAGGUCCUCUGGAUUGUAAACUUCUUUUAUCUGGGACGAAAACGGGAUUUUUAUCUCAAUUGACGGUACCCUGGGAAUAAGCACCGGCUAACUCCGUGCCAGCAGCCGCGGUAAUACGGAGGGUGCAAGCGUUAUCCGGAUUCACUGGGUUUAAAGGGUGCGUAGGUGGGCAGAUAAGUCAGUGGUGAAAUCUUCCGGCUUAACCGGGAAACUGCCGUUGAUACUAUUUGUCUUGAAUAUUGCGGAGGUAAGCGGAAUAUGUCAUGUAGCGGUGAAAUGCUUAGAUAUGACAUAGAACACCAAUUGCGAAGGCAGCUUACUACACAAUCAUUGACACUGAGGCACGAAAGCGUGGGUAGCGAACA